ACAGUUUUGGCAACAUUGCGCGAAUGAUUUCGAUAGAAACGGUCGAUAUUGUGGAAAAACAAGUCGUGGAUCUUGCACCAGGAUAACGCACCUGCUCAUAACGUGCUGUCUGUGAAGCGUUAUUUGACCGCUUAAGGCACUCCAGUACUCGAACACGCGUCUUACUCACCCGACUUGGCACCCUGCGACUUUUACUUGUUUCCGAAGAUAAAGUCUGCCUUAAAAGGAAUC